AACAGGAGGAGAGAUAUCAUGAUUGAAAGAAGGAAGGGGAGCUGGAUCAGUAUCAGUAAAAUUAGGAACAAUAGAAUUAGGGGCUGGAUCAGAUGUAGGGGAAGAAGGAGAGGAAGCAUGUGUAGGAGAAUUUUUGUCAUGAGGAAUAAAAGGAAAAGAUGAAGGAGAAGAAUGAGCAGAAGAAGGUUUAUUCUUAAAAGGAA
rnacentral:lncRNA from 1 species